UCGAAUAAAUUUGCAGAAACCGCCCGAUGCCUCCUUCUUCCCCAUUUCUGGUUUUUCCUCCAUUCUCCCUCUCUCUCCGCCGUCACCUCAGCCCUCUCUCUCCGCCGUCACCUCAGCCACCGCCGCUCCUUCCGUAGCCUCCCCUGCCGUCGCCGUCGAGCCUGCCGUCGCACAUAGUCGGUUUUUUCCGGAUUCUUCGCCGGCCGAUUUCUCUCUCCUCCGGCCACCAUUUCCGACGCCUGAUGUAUGAUUU
rnacentral:lncRNA from 1 species